GACAGAGGGUGCAAACGUUGUUCGGAAUUACUGGGCGUAAAGCGAGUGUAGGCGGUUUGGUAAGCCGGAUGUGAAAGCCCCCGGCUCAACUGGGGAGGGUCACGCGAUACUGCUCGACUCGAAGGCAGGAGAGGGAAGUGGAAUUCCCGGUGUAGUGGUGAAAUGCGUAGAUAUCGGGAGGAACACCAGUGGCGAAGGCGACUUCCUGGCCUGUUCUUGACGCUGAGGCGCGAAAGCUAGGGUAGCAAACGGG
rnacentral:rRNA from 1 species